AGAGUUUGAUCCUGGCUCAGAUUGAACGCUGGCGGCGUGCUUAACACAUGCAAGUCGAACGCGAAAGGGGCUUCGGCCCUGAGUAAAGUGGCGCACGGGUGAGUAACGCGUGGAUAAUCUGCCCUUAUGAUCGGGAUAACAGUUGGAAACGGCUGCUAAUACCGGAUACGCUCAAGAUGAACUUUUUGAGGAAAGAUGGCCUCUGCUUGCAUGCUAUCGCGUAAGGAUGAGUCCGCGUCCCAUUAGCUUGUUGGCGGGGUAACGGCCCACCAAGGCAACGAUGGGUANCCGAUUUGANAGGAUGAUCGGCCACACUGGAACUGAAA
rnacentral:rRNA from 1 species